rnacentral:rRNA from 1 species
UACAGAGAGUGCGAACGUUGUUCGGAAUUACUGGGCUUAAAGCGCACGUAGGCGGCGCCGCAAGUGCGGGGUGAAAUCCCACGGCUUACCCGUGGAACUGCCUUGCAGACUGUGGUGCUAGAGGAUGGUAGGGGAGAGCGGAACUCCUGGUGGAGCGGUGAAAUGCGUAGAUAUCAGGAGGAACACCGAUGGCGAAGGCAGCUCGCUGGGACGGUACUGACGCUGAGACGCGAAAGCGUGGGGAGCGAACAGG